UUUCUUCGGGGCAGGGUGAUCGAAUUACAGAGUUUGAAAUUCCCUACCGGCGGUAUAGUCCGCGACCCGCUUAGGCGGCUGAUUUGGUGAAAUUCCAAAACCGACAGUACAGUCUGGAUGAGAGAAGA
rnacentral:ncRNA from 1 species